UAAUUCUAGAGCUAAUACAUGCUGGUAUGCCCAACUUUUCGGAAGGGCGGUAUUUAUUAGAUAACAAGCCAAUAUUCCUCUGGUCUAUUGUGGUGACUCAUAAUAACUGAUCGAAUCGCAAGGCCUUUGGCCGCGAUAAGUCAUUCAAGUUUCUGCCCCAUCAGCUUUCGAUGGUAGUGUAUUGGACUACCAUGGCGUUUACGGGUAACGGAGGAUUAGGGUUCGAUUCCGGAGAGGGAGCCUGAGAAACGGCUACCACAUCUAAGGAAGGCAGCAGGCGCGUAAAUUACCCAAUCCUGACUCAGGGAGGUAGUGACAAGAAAUAACGGACCGGGGCCUUCGGGCUUCGGGAUU
rnacentral:rRNA from 1 species